CCCUUGGUAGUCUAGUUGGUUAUGGCGUUCGGCUGUAAUUGUAUGAAAUUGUUACAUUGUUACCGAAAAGUCACCGGUUCGAUUCCGGUCCGAGGGA